UAUUAUGAUUAAUGCCUUUACC
rnacentral:siRNA from 1 species